UCCCCUUCUUUAGCCUUUUCGUUGAUUGUACCUGUGCCAGCCUUCUUUCUUCUGAUCUUUUGGAACUCAUGUGAGUUAUCAUUAGUUUUCACACUGUUUGCUCCUUUUUCUGGACAGGUGCCAGAUGCUACCUCACAGGGAUGGCUCAUUGCACACAAAGAGGCACAAAGAUCCUGAGGAGAGGAAAAAACAAAUGCCUGCCUACCUGGCCAGCACUCAAAAAACAGGCCGAUCAACCCAGAGCCCUCACACCUUGGACCUUCCCCAACUCCACCCAAAAGAUCUAGCCAAGUCACCUCUUCACCGGGUAGAGCCAACUUGCACAUUCUGCAGACAGGAAAAGGCCAACCAAAGUGCAUGGAAGAAAAGUUUUGUCUGCCUUGGCCUUGCACACAGCAUCCAGCCAGCAAAAGAGCAUGAUGGUAUCUGCAGCCAACAGGAGGACUCUGUGAUGCUGGACUUGUGAUGUAGCACCUCUGGGGCAAGUUUCAUACUCUGUGAAACUCCUGACCCUCUCACUUCUCUAAGGACUCUCCUGACAGGGUUCGCAGGAAGUGCCAUUUUCCAUGAAUCUUUGCAGCUUCUGGCCUCCAUCUCCAGUCUGAAAACCCCAGUGCUCCACAGGGAACUGAGAAUGGCCAAAAGGGUUCUGUUCCUUUCCUUACCUUUUUGCCAUUGUUCUUUGGAUGGUAUAAAAUGUCAAAAUACUUUUUUUCCCCUGUUGCUGCUGCUGCCAGAAAAUAUUUAUAACCAUGACAGCCAUAGCAGAGCUUUCUUAAUUGCUUAAUUAUAAAAUAUGCUUAUAACCUUUGGAGUGAUUAUACCAAUGCAUAAUUAUGGGCAUUACCAACUUUAGAAAAUUGUUCUGGUCAGAACACAUGAAUCCCCAUUCUCUCUUUCCAAACAAUAAAUAUUUGGGUAAAGGAAACAGAGCAAGAA